AGUGAACGCUGGCGGUAGGCCUAACACAUGCAAGUCGAACGGCAGCACAGUAAGGGCUUGCUCUUACGGGUGGCGAGUGGCGGACGGGUGAGGAAUACAUCGGAAUCUACUUUUUCGUGGGGGAUAACGUAGGGAAACUUACGCUAAUACCGCAUACGACCUACGGGUGAAAGCAGGGGAUCUUCGGACCUUGCGCGAUUGAAUGAGCCGAUGUCGGAUUAGCUAGUUGGCGGGGUAAAGGCCCACCAAGGCGACGAUCCGUAGCUGGUCUGAGAGGAUGAUCAGCCACACUGGAACUGAGACACGGUCCAGACUCCUACGGGAGGCAGCAGUGGGGAAUAUUGGACAAUGGGCGCAAGCCUGAUCCAGCCAUACCGCGUGGGUGAAGAAGGCCUUCGGGUUGUAAAGCCCUUUUGUUGGGAAAGAAAAGCAGCAGGUUAAUACCCCGCUGUUCUGACGGUACCCAAAGAAUAAGCACCGGCUAACUGCGU
rnacentral:rRNA from 1 species